CCUACGGGAGGCAGCAGUGAGGAAUAUUGGUCAAUGGUCGGGAGACUGAACCAGCCAAGCCGCGUGAGGGAGGAAGGUACAGAGUAUCGUAAACCUCUUUUGUCAGGGAACAAAGGCGGGGACGUGUCCCCGGAUGAGUGUACCUGAAGAAAAAGCAUCGGCUAACUCCGUGCCAGCAGCCGCGGUAAUACGGAGGAUGCGAGCGUUAUCCGGAUUUAUUGGGUUUAAAGGGUGCGCAGGCGGUCUGUUAAGUCAGCGGUCAAAGCCCGGGGCUCAACCCCGGACCGCGGUUGAAACUGGCAGUCGCGAGUUGGAGAGACGCAUGCGGAAUGCGCGGUGUAGCGGUGAAAUGCAUAGAUAUCGCGCAGAACUCCGAUUGCGAAGGCAGCAUGCCGGCUCCACACUGACGCUGAGGCACGAAAGCGUGGGUAUCGAACAGGAUUAGAUACCCUAGUAGUC
rnacentral:rRNA from 1 species